CCUUUAGCUCAGUUGGUUAGAGCAACCGGCUCAUAACCGGUAGGUCCCGGGUUCGAGUCCCCGA
rnacentral:tRNA from 1 species